rnacentral:rRNA from 1 species
AUUGAACGCUGGCGGCAGGCUUAACGCAUGCAAGUCGAGCGGGGUGAUGGUGCUUGCACUAUCACUUAGCGGCGGACGGGUGAGUAAUGCUUAGGAAUCUGCCUAUUAGUGGGGGACAACAUCUCGAAAGGGAUGCUAAUACCGCAUACGUCCUACGGGAGAAAGCAGGGGAUCACUUGUGACCUUGCGCUAAUAGAUGAGCCUAAGUCGGAUUAGCUAGUUGAUGGGGUAAAGGCCUACCAAGGCGACGAUCUGUAGCGGGUCUGAGAGGAUGAUCCGCCACACUGGGACUGAGACACGGCCCAGACUCCUACGGGAGGCAGCAGUGGGGAAUAUUGGACAAUGGGGGGAACCCUGAUCCAGCCAUGCCGCGUGUGUGAAGAAGGCCUUAUGGUUGUAAAGCACUUUAAGCGAGGAGGAGGCUCUUUUGGUUAAUACCCAAGAUGAGUGGACGUUACUCGCAGAAUAAGCACCGGCUAACUCUGUGCCAGCAGCCGCCGUAA